rnacentral:rRNA from 1 species
AUGGUUGAGCCUCUAAUGGGGGAAGUGACGUUCUUCAAUUAUCAAGUCAUUUUGCGAUUUCAAGAUGUAUUAUACUUACCUAUUGUUGGUUCCUUAUGCAGGAUGGCAAACAAAGGUAAUCCCGGAGCGAAGAGGAAGAAGAAGCAGGAGGCUGGCGGGCAGAAGAAUCAGGAAGCUGGAGGGGAGAAGAAGCAGGGGGCUGGCGGGAAGAAGAAGCCGACCCUGCACUGCUUGGCACUUGAGGAGGAGAGAGGAUGUAAAAAGUUCAAUGAAUAUAUGCAAGAACUGGCUAACAAGUCCCCUGGAAAAGAUAUAUGCGUGGUUGAGCCAUCUCGCGGGGAUACACAAACACCUGGUGAAGCACUGCUAAUUGAAGAGGCCCAGACAGCAAUCCUCAGAGUCAUUCAUCUAUAUAUGGACGAAAUCGAGGAAGGCUGGUGCUUCAGCACAGUCAGCGAGAGCAAUACAGUCGUCACAAAUCAAGACAUUCCUAAGAUUCUGAAAGAUAAUCGGGUGAGAGCAACAGCGGAAACAGUUACCAAAUGCGUGACUGGUUUAGCUGAAAUGCUUAAGAGGGUUGUCAUGAAUUCGAGCCCAUCCUACCGACAGGAUCCUAAUAUCAACAAGGCGCUGCGUCACCUCCUUGGUUUGAUACGCAGAUACAAGUUCAGGGCAUGCACAUUUUUGAUCAAGUACCACGCAGCUACAGUUCCUCUAAUCAACAGACUGAUUCUCUUCAUUAUGAUCUAUGAUCAUACUGUAGAGAUUCUAAGGCGCACUGACCCUUAG